UACAGAGGUCUCAAGCGUUGUUCGGAUUCAUUGGGCGUAAAGGGUGCGUAGGCGGCGCGGUAAGUCGGGUGUGAAAUCUCGGAGCUUAACUCCGAAACUGCAUUCGAUACUGCCGUGCUUGAGGACUGGAGAGGAGACUGGAAUUUACGGUGUAGAGGUGAAAUUCGUAGAUAUCGAGAGGAACACCGGUGGCGAAGGCGGCGAUCUGGACGAUGACUGACGCUGAGACGCGAAAGCGUGGGGAGCAAACAGG
rnacentral:rRNA from 1 species